GUUCGAGCUCCACGGUUUGCCUCUUUCCAGCAGAGAGAAUCGGGGGUGUGUGUGUGUGUGUCUCUUUCAGGCUCCCCUCUCCCUAGUGCAAAGGCCUGAUCCCGCUGAGCAGGCUAACGGGGCCCGUGGGCUCUUGCCUUCCACGACCGAUGUGCGUGAGCGUGCUUGUGUGUUACACAGACCCUCGCUUUCCAUAGCACACCCCAGCUCGGGUCCUCUCUAUCCUGUGACCUGGGGUGGGGUGGGGGAGAUAUGAGUGAGAACUAUCCCUGCUGGGUGGAUACCCCCCUAGCUCGUAUGAAGCGCUACCCCAAACAGCUUUACUCCACACGUUGCGUUGUGAUCUCUUGCAAGCGGCACCCGGGGUCACUCCAGUCUCCAAAGGAGGAGACCUUCCAUCCUUACUCCGGAUUUCUCCAGAGCCCGAGGCUGGCAGGGGGCCGGCGGGACACCAUGGGGCGGGCAAUGUCUUUCUAUGCACUCUCACUGCUCACUAGCUGGGCUUUGUUCCCGUUAACACAACAAGCCAACGGAGAUGCUCCGGGCAUCGUCCGCCCGGAGCGAAACGGUUCCACUUUGCGCUCGCUUCUUCCGCCCUGUGUGUCCGAACGGCGCCUAGAAUUCGGGGCGAGGCACGUGUGGGCCCCUGGCUCGCCUCUCCCCCAUGGUCUCGUUCAGCCCUCCAGGGAAACGAGCCUGCACCCAGCCUCAGCAAUAUCCGCGCAGCCCGCGCCAUGGCUGCAACGAGAGGCCAUUUGUCCCCCGACGCUGUUAUUUCAGGAGUGUUGUCCACGCUGAGGUUUCUCCCUCAUCCUUCCCUACAAGAGAGCAGAGUGUAGACCAUGCGUGCCUCAUCGUCCCAGAACACAGGGCCAGUCCUAGCCUGGAGGGAUACAAGGAUUUCAGCAGCGUUUUUCCCUACGAGGCGGACUAAUUGUACAUAAUUCCCCCCGCCCCAUUCCUCCCCACUUACUUGAGCACAUGCAGCUGCAGUCACCCUUGUGGCUUGGAAGGAAAGGCGGCCUCCUGCACCAAGGCUGCAAGGCCAGUUCCCCAAGGCAGCAGCUGCGAGAGGGAGGGGGGCAGGCGGUGAAAGCUGCACUUUCCUCUGAGCAGAGUAGUGUUCCCUCUGAGGGGCCCCCAGCCCCAGGACCCGGCUCCCAAGCCCUGGGCCUCCCGCAUGGAAGCAGUGUUGCCUCCUCCAUAGCCACUAAGCCAUCCGGGCAGGCAAGGUUUGCAGUUUUAACUCUGGCUGUUCCACCACAUUGUCCUUCUUAUAGGUUGAGGGGGGAGAUCCAUUUGUAGGAAUCAACUGUUAGGACCAAGCACAGAGGCUUACAGCAAGAGAUUUCAUAGGCCAGAUUUAGCUUGUGAUUAAGAGAAUACCACAAGAGAACAGUGAUGAUUGUUUCAUUUAAAAAUCACAAAAAGCCCUGUCGUUCAGUGGGUGAGAAAGGGUAAGAGAAUGGGAAGAUUCUACAAAGAAACAGUCACAAGUGUGUUCGCUCUCAGUUUACUCUGUUGUACGCUCUUCAGUUUACGUACAAUAUUUUACUCUGGUUAUGCUGGCUUCAUUCAAAAAGUGUUAUAAUUGAAUUUUACAGAAAACAUUCACUAUCAGUUUCUAACCCUAGACUUAGAAAUGGGGCCAAGCCAGGAAGCAGAUCUCAGAUCAGAGCUGGAUUCAGACCUCCCAAAAUCUGGAAGUGGACAGCUCUACUUGGAAUCAUAGAAAUACCUAUUAGAGCAACCAGCUCAACUCCCUGCUAAUGCAGGAUUGUUUCCUUGCAUUUACUAGUGUUUUGUCUAGUCACAUAUUAAAUAUUCUGCUGAUGAGGCUUUCAUCACUUUCUGAGGGAGAUUAUUCCCCAACCUGUUUUAGGCCCCGAUUAUUAAAAGCUAUUUAGGCACUGCUGCGCUCAGCAUCACACCACCUCACUGAGUUAGAAGCCUAAAUAUCAUUUUCAAAAGGGAUUUAGCUGCUUAGGAGUCUAAAUUCCAUCAACAAUGGGAUACAGACUCCUAAGUGCCUAAAUACCUUUUGAACAUAUUUAGGCUCUUACCCCUAAAUACCUUUACAAAUCUGGGCCAGACUGUCAGGAAGACAUUACUUCCAAUUACUCUCCCUUUUACCACUGGAGGCAUACACCUCCGCACACCCUUCCAGUAUUUAUACAUGGUUUCUAGUCCCCACUUUUGCUGGUUUUUAGGACCAAAUUAGGUUUCCUGAUCCAGCUCCCCAAUUGUCUUUGGCCCUGUUUCUGUUAGAAAAACAACUAAGUCUGUCAGAUUCAAUGGCGGCCUAAUCUUACAGCUACAGAUGGGCCCGAACUAGAAUUGCCCAGCUAUCGUCAAUCGAGUCAACCCAUGUUAACCAGUUUUUAUCAAAAUGUGUUUUUGGGUCUCUCUAUAUUACAAAUGUAACCAUACCAGAACUAAAUGAAAUAUUCCCGGGGCAGUUACACCACAGUCAAAUAGAGAGGCACUGUUCCAUUAAAUGCUGCUUUGCUAUGCAGCUGAAUUAGGCUUUUUAGUUGCCAUGUCACACUAUUUGUAAGAGUUUCUAUUAUGCUAAUCACAGCCGCAGGUCUGCAAUGACUUACACAGAUGCUGAAAUUUAAGUGAGGGUACAUCUACACAGCAAAGGAAAACCUGCAGCUGGCCUGUGCCAACUGAUUCAGGCUUGGGCUGUGGGCAGAAGCUCCCAAAGAGUGGGGGUGCCUGAACCACCCUGCCCUGUCGCUCCUCUCCCCCAUUGCUCACCCUUCCGGCUGGUAAAAAGUGAGAGGCCAUAGCCUUCCCACUUUUAAAAGUGAUGGGGCCAUGGCCUCCUUCCCCCCCCCCAUUCCUGUGCUCCUGGCUGUGGGGCUGUUUCAUUGCCUGGCAGACUUCCAGGCUCCGGCUGGAGCUUGAGCUCUAAGACCCUCCCAUCCCUCAGGGUCCUAGAGCCUGGACUCCAACCUGAGCCCAGAAGUCUACACUGCGAUGAAACAGCCUUGCAGCCAGAGCCCCGCGAACCCGAGCUGGCUAGCACUUGCCAGCCAUGGGCGUCUAGUUGCUGGAUAGACAUACCCUGAGUACUAGUGAAAGCAAUGGGGCUUCUCAUGUACAUUAAGCCAAGUAUGUGUGUAAGUGCUUGCACACAUCACUGUGGCGUGCGCGGCUUUGAUCAUAUUGGGGCUAUAGUUAGUGGAAAUUCCCUAAUAUUCUACAGGAUAGCCUUUUGUGGCCUCCUUUGCCUUGGUACCUGGGUUGGAAAGCAGAUUACCAUCUUGUGUUCUUUAUCUGCCCAAAGGUGUCUUGGGCCAGGCUUCUAACUAAGGAGUCACCAGUGAGGACUACUUGCGUAUUUCUUUCUGGUGGCUCCCUUUCAGUGCUUCCCUCUUGACUGUAGGGGCUACAGAUCUCUCUUUGGCUCUCCUCAGUCUCAUCCUUCUCUUUGUCGUUGACAAUGGCAUAUCUAACGCAGCCAUUGAGACCAAAUGGCCUACAUUUCUCCUCUGCUCUUUCCAGAGGUUCUAGUCUACCUAGAUGACAUCUUAUUUUUCCAUCUCUAUCCCAUUCUGGGUGUUAACCUCUUGCACAGGAUAGUCCUGUUUGGUCUCUGUCUACAUACCUAUCCCCUAUUGUCUUUGCUCAGUGGAUUUAAGUGACAUUCAAGUUGCUUCACCUUUUAUUCACAAUGGACAUGCCAUGGCAUGUGGACAUGACUUACUGAAUUCUUAAAGCAGCUUUUCUUAUUUAUUAAUUCAAUUAUUAAAUACAUAUAAACUAUAAAAAAUAAUGUACAUUUCCUUUUCCUUUUAAUGUAAACAAUUGUAAUGAUGGAAAGCCCUAGCAAUAUGGACUCAAAGAAAAGCUUCCAGAUCUUUUGAAACCAGAAAAUUUUAAUAAAACUACACUUUAAAAAAAAUGUUGAGAGCA
rnacentral:lncRNA from 1 species